rnacentral:rRNA from 1 species
AAGGUAGCAUAGUAAUUUGUCUUUUAAUUAAAGGCUUGAAUGAAUGGUCGGACAGGUAGAAGCUGUUUUUAUUAUUUAGGUGAAAUUGACGGCAAGUGAGAAUUCUUGGUUUUUACCCGGGGACGAUAAGACCCUGUAAAGUUUUGAGUUUUUUUUUGUGGGUAGUAAGGGUGUUAGUGAGAGACUUUAGCUGGGACGGCUGGCCUAUUAGUGUGAAUCUAGGCUGAUUUUGACAUUUGUUUUAUGGUCUUGUUGACCCUCAGGAGGARGUAAGGAGGUAACUACUUCAGGGGUAACAGCAUUAUUCUUUUUUAAGUUCAUAUUGAAGGGAGAGUUUGUGACCU